GACGAACGCUGGCGGCGUGCCUAAUACAUGCAAGUAGAACGCUGAAGGAGGAGCUUGCUUCUCUGGAUGAGUUGCGAACGGGUGAGUAACGCGUAGGUAACCUGCCUGGUAGCGGGGGAUAACUAUUGGAAACGAUAGCUAAUACCGCAUAAUAGCAGUUAUUGCAUGAUAACUGUUUGAAAGGUGCAAUUGCACCACUACCAGAUGGACCUGCGUUGUAUUAGCUAGUUGGUGGGGUAACGGCUCACCAAGGCGACGAUACAUAGCCGACCUGAGAGGGUGAUCGGCCACACUGGGACUGAGACACGGCCCAGACUCCUACGGGAGGCAGCAGUAGGGAAUCUUCGGCAAUGGACGGAAGUCUGACCGAGCAACGCCGCGUGAGUGAAGAAGGUUUUCGGAUCGUAAAGCUCUGUUGUAAGAGAAGAACGAGUGUGAGAGUGGAAAGUUCACAC
rnacentral:rRNA from 2 species